rnacentral:misc_RNA from 1 species
AACGCACAUUGCGCCCCUUGGUAUUCCGAGGGGCAUGCCUGUUCGAGCGUCAUUACACCACUCAAGCACCGCUUGGUAUUGGGCACCCGUCCGCCGCGAGGCGGGCGUGCCUCGAAGACCUCGGCGGGGUCCAACCGACUUCGGGCGUAGUAGAGUUAAAUCAAAACGUCUCAUGAGUAUCGGUCGGAACCCAUUGCCGUAAAACCUUUUUUUUAUAUUUUCCAGGUUGACCUCGGAUCAGGUAGGGAUACCCGCUGAACUUAA